AGUGAACGCUGGCGGUAGGCCUAACACAUGCAAGUCGAACGGCAGCACAGUAAGAGCUUGCUCUUACGGGUGGCGAGUGGCGGACGGGUGAGGAAUACAUCGGAAUCUACUUUUUCGUGGGGGAUAACGUAGGGAAACUUACGCUAAUACCGCAUACGACCUACGGGUGAAAGCAGGGGAUCUUCGGACCUUGCGCGAUUGAAUGAGCCGAUGUCGGAUUAGCUAAUUGGCGGGGUAAAGGCCCACCAAGGCGACGAUCCGUAGCUGGUCUGAGAGGAUGAUCAGCCACACUGGAACUGAGACACGGUCCAGACUCCUACGGGAGGCAGCAGUGGGGAAUAUUGGACAAUGGGCGCAAGCCUGAUCCAGCCAUACCGCGUGGGUGAAGAAGGCCUUCGGGUUGUAAAGCCCUUUUGUUGGGAAAGAAAAGCAGCAGGUUAAUACCCCGUUGUUCUGACGGUACCCAAAGAAUAAGCACCGGCUAACUUCGUG
rnacentral:rRNA from 1 species